rnacentral:tRNA from 1 species
GUAUUGCAGUUCAGUGGUAGAAUUCUUGCCUUACAUGCAGGAGACCUGGGUUCAAUGCCUGGCCAAUGCA